GAUGAACGCUGGCGGCGUGCCUAAUACAUGCAAGUCGAGCGAACGGACGAGAAGCUUGCUUCUCUGAUGUUAGCGGCGGACGGGUGAGUAACACGUGGAUAACCUACCUAUAAGACUGGGAUAACUUCGGGAAACCGGAGCUAAUACCGGAUAAUAUUUUGAACCGCAUGGUUCAAAAGUGAAAGACGGUCUUGCUGUCACUUAUAGAUGGAUCCGCGCUGCAUUAGCUAGUUGGUAAGGUAACGGCUUACCAAGGCAACGAUGCAUAGCCGACCUGAGAGGGUGAUCGGCCACACUGGAACUGAGACACGGUCCAGACUCCUACGGGAGGCAGCAGUAGGGAAUCUUCCGCAAUGGGCGAAAGCCUGACGGAGCAACGCCGCGUGAGUGAUGAAGGUCUUCGGAUCGUAAAACUCUGUUAUUAGGGAAGAACAUAUGUGUAAGUAACUGUGCACAUCUUGACGGUACCGAAUCAGAAGGCCACGGCUAACUACGU
rnacentral:rRNA from 1 species